GUUAAAUUUCAAAAAGAAAAAAGACUAAGUACAGAAUAGUGCUCUGCUAGGGUUUUGGAGAUUUUUCAAAUUACUUCUGUUGCUAUGGCGGGAAGACUCAAAGGUCGAAAAAAAUGGAACGAAUGCAGCGAUUCAAAAACAGAGGGGACCGUCGUCGAAGACUGGUGAGAAAGACGAUAUCUAUGGCAGCGAUCUUUGAGAUCAACACAGUGGAAUUUUCUAAUUCUGAGGAAGAGAAGAUUGAUGAGGAUGCGGUGAAGAAUGACGAUGGAACCAUACUCUCGCAAAGAUCGAACGAGACUCUCUCGGAAUGGCUUGGCGUAAUGAAGAAGGCAGAGGCGACUACGAAAUGAGAUUGGGGAUUCCAAUAAGACUAAAAUCAGAAGUAGUGCUGCUAGGAAAUUAGGGAAUGUUAGAAUUGAUGAUGAUGAUAUAGAAGAGGAGGUUGGUUGGUGAGGUGGCGUACACAGGGAGCCAUGCUUGGGUUUUCCUCAACAAUUUAUCCACCGGAUAUGUCUACAGCAAGUUGCUUCCUGAAUGGACAGAGGAAUGGCUUCUCUAGAU